CCAGUAUCCAGAACAGAAAUCCAUCUCACAUCUACAUACUAAACGGCACCUCGCGGGAAUUCUACAUUUGCGGAAAGGCAUACUGCACCUCGCGGGGUCUUACUAUGCCCGGCGGCAAGCAGAAUAUAAGUCGUAGGACCGGCCGAUCCUACGCCUAGGGCCGUAUCCCCCCUAGGAAGGGACUGGGCUCUGCCCACCCAGAAGGCUACUAUGUGCACAAAGGCCGAUGUUCAACCCCAUCGACUAUAGGUGUCCUGCAGAUACUGCCAAGCCAUGCAUAAAUGCCAUAAUGCACCCUCCCAAUACUCUACUAAAAAGGAGUAUGAUCAAGACUACCAUUCACUCGACUCGGACCCAAUCAUAAACUAACAUCAGGGUUGGGAGUGAGGGUCAAGGAAGUGCAAUACAACUCAAUAUACUACUAAAAAAGCUCUACAAAUCUUUGAAAUAGAGGAAAUGAAAUCAAUUUACAAAAGAAAUCAUUUCACAAUUCGGAAUCAAUUUGAUUACUCAUCAACCCCUCGUAAUUCCUCUCAAUGUUCCCUCAAAUGCAUGUACAGAAUAAUCAAGCAUGGAGAAUCAAGAUUAUAGAGGAAUCUACUACAACAAUUAAUCAAUAAGCUCAGGUGGAAUCAAGUCACACUUGACAACAUUCAUGAAAAUGAAUAAGGAAUGUGCUCAUGGUGCAAAGUACAAACUUCCACUCACCUGUCAAUCUGGCACGGCCUCGAUACACCUCCAAAAAUCUACAGUAGGCAGUGGAAAACUUCUUCUUCUUGUUCCCUAGCUUCUUGCCCAACUGUGACAUGCAUUUAUAAUACAUUUAGUCCUGUAUCAAGGGUCAUAAUCUACGUGCCAAUUAUAACAUAGAGAACUUUAAUUAAUUCAACUCCCCCGUUCCCUAAAUCUUUUUUUUCUUUCUUCUUUUUCUUUUUAAUUAAUUAACUCACCAUUUAUGUGUAUUAGGGACUCCUUUGCAUGAGUACAAGGUCCCUUUUAGCUUGAUCUAGGCUUAAUACCCUAUUAUGGCAUGAAAUCCCCUAAUUUCCACCCGGAUGAACAGUAAUCCGGACCGACAGCCGGUUACUUCAUCCCGGGUUUGAUCCACUUUUCAGACUCCAAAUUUGAUGAAAUUUUUACCUAACAUUCUAUACUCAUAGGGGAUUCCA
rnacentral:lncRNA from 1 species